rnacentral:rRNA from 1 species
GACGAACGCUGGCGGCGUGCCUAAUACAUGCAAGUAGAACGCUGAAGAGAGGAGCUUGCUCUUCUUGGAUGAGUUGCGAACGGGUGAGUAACGCGUAGGUAACCUGCCUUGUAGCGGGGGAUAACUAUUGGAAACGAUAGCUAAUACCGCAUAACAAUGGAUGACACAUGUCAUUUAUUUGAAAGGGGCAAUUGCUCCACUACAAGAUGGACCUGCGUUGUAUUAGCUAGUAGGUGAGGUAACGGCUCACCUAGGCGACGAUACAUAGCCGACCUGAGAGGGUGAUCGGCCACACUGGGACUGAGACACGGCCCAGACUCCUACGGGGGGCAGCAGUAGGGAAUCUUCGGCAAUGGGGGCAACCCUGACCGAGCAACGCCGCGUGAGUGAAGAAGGUUUUCGGAUCGUAAAGCUCUGUUGUAAGUCAAGAACGAGUGUGAGAGUGGAAAGUUCACACUGUGACGGUAGCUUACCAGAAAGGGACGGCUAACUACGUGCCAGCAGCCGCGGUAAUACGUAGGUCCCGAGCGUUGUCCGGAUUUAUUGGGCGUAAAGCGAGCGCAGGCGGUUUGAUAAGUCUGAAGUUAAAGGCUGUGGCUCAACCAUAGUUCGCUUUGGAAACUGUCAAACUUGAGUGCAGAAGGGGAGAGUGGAAUUCCAUGUGUAGCGGUGAAAUGCGUAGAUAUAUGGAGGAACACCGGUGGCGAAAGCGGCUCUCUGGUCUGUAACUGACGCUGAGGCUCGAAAGCGUGGGGAGCGAACAGGAUUAGAUACCCUGGUAGUCCACGCCGUAAACGAUGAGUGCUAGGUGUUGGAUCCUUUCCGGGAUUCAGUGCCGCAGCUAACGCAUUAAGCACUCCGCCUGGGGAGUACGACCGCAAGGUUGAAACUCAAAGGAAUUGACGGGGGCCCGCACAAGCGGUGGAGCAUGUGGUUUAAUUCGAAGCAACGCGAAGAACCUUACCAGGUCUUGACAUCCCGAUGCUAUUUCUAGAGAUAGAAAGUUACUUCGGUACAUCGGUGACAGGUGGUGCAUGGUUGUCGUCAGCUCGUGUCGUGAGAUGUUGGGUUAAGUCCCGCAACGAGCGCAACCCCUAUUGUUAGUUGCCAUCAUUCAGUUGGGCACUCUAGCGAGACUGCCGGUAAUAAACCGGAGGAAGGUGGGGAUGACGUCAAAUCAUCAUGCCCCUUAUGACCUGGGCUACACACGUGCUACAAUGGUUGGUACAACGAGUUGCGAGUCGGUGACGGCAAGCUAAUCUCUUAAAGCCAAUCUCAGUUCGGAUUGUAGGCUGCAACUCGCCUACAUGAAGUCGGAAUCGCUAGUAAUCGCGGAUCAGCACGCCGCGGUGAAUACGUUCCCGGGCCU